rnacentral:sRNA from 1 species
CACUAGCCCCGAUAGAAGUGGAAAUCCUUUUGUGGUGGGGUUCACCACAAAAGAUUGGAACGGAUAGCGGGAUUAGCU